GUAAGUUGAAUACAAUAUGCAGUAUUAAGCAACUCCAAAUUCCUAGACUAAAAUAUAAGGCAAAGGUCAGAACCUUGGGUAUCAUCUUUCUUGGCAGGCUCUAUCUUUCCACUCAGACACAAGGCUGAUCUUGCUGGCCCAACACUUCCCAUUUAAGAGCUUCUUUCUUAAAAUAUUUGCUUAACAAACUUAAACUGUUAGAAAACUUUUAUUUUUGUUUUUCCUGGGAGGAAAUGUUAAAAGGCUGCAGUACUAUAGAAUAUUUUUAAGUAUUUCCCCAGAAUCACAACUUAACAUUAAUCCAGAAAAACUGUGAUAACCAAAAUACUCCAGGACAGAGAUAACCUACUAAUUAUAUUCUCUUGGAAGAUAAAUGUUAAAAACUUAAGUGUACUUGGAGCUCCAACUUGAAUUAUUAAAAUCUUUAAAGAAUGUAGAGUUCUCCUUCCCCAUGCUGACUGGGCCAUAAGAGGAGUCUUCACACUGAACUCUGAUGUGAGUCCCUGAAGGAUACAAUCUGUAGAAGAAAAAAAAAGUGGCCACACAGUCCCAUAUUCUGAUGAUAGGCUGCUGGCUGCAGUGCUGUUUCCAACUGUUUCCUGGUCCUCCCUGUUUUGCCAGUGGCCAUAGUGAACUUGCUGAUGGACGUAAAUGCAACUUGAAGGAGUUCCAGGAAUUACGAAAACCAACACAUAUUGGUUCAAGGUGAAAUGGAGUUUUAAUGAAGAUGGUCAGGGUGGAGGAAGGCUCAGCAUGGGUAUAGAAGAAGAUGGAACAGAAAACUGUCAAAGAGGGAAGCGUGGGGCCUCGCUCGAAGGUGAACUUCCUCCUGUGGGUGGGUGCAGAUAUCUGUGCCAUGAGAAACAUGGAAAUUAGUGAAUGCAAAGAAAGCAGAAGUAGCUUCCCCAGCUACUUAAACUGCUGAGUGCCGUUCCCUUAGCCAUACUGCAAAUGAAACAUUGCCUUGCAUUGUCUGUCAGGGAAUUGGUGUUUUCCUUAAGUUUGCUAGUGUUCAGAAGCAUCAGUAGAAUUCUGCAUGUUGCUCAAAUCUAAACCAUGUGAACUUAUGAGAAGAUUUAUGCAUCUGAAGUGUUCUGCUGACACUCUGGUGUCAUAACUGAAGUAUCCUAAACAUUCGUUUAUUUAGCUAUUUUACAAAAUAAAAC